AUGGGUAGGGUUGCGAUCUGGAUCGCGUGCGUGCUGCUCCUGGCGGCGACAUGCCAGGGCAAGGGGGCUCCGGGGCAUAGGGUGAGGGUCGGCUACUACAACCGGAAGUGCCGCGCGGCGGAGAGCAUCGUCAGGGACGUCGUCGGCAAGGCCGUCUCCCGGAACCCCGGCCUCGGCGCCGGCAUCAUCCGCAUGGCCUUCCACGACUGCUUCGUCCAGGGCUGUGACGCGUCGGUGCUGCUGGACGCGACUCCGGCGAACCCGCGGCCGGAGAAGCUCGGCCCGCCCAACUUCCCCAGCCUGCGCGGCUUCGAGGUGAUCGACGCCGCCAAGGCGGUCCUCGAGAGGGUCUGCCCUAGAGUCGUCUCCUGCGCCGACAUCAUCGCCUUCGCCGCACGCGACGCCGCCUUCUUCCUCAGCAGCAGCCUGAUCGACUACAAGAUGCCGGCGGGGCGGUUCGACGGGCGCGUGUCGCUUGAAACUGAGGCGCUGCAGUUCCUGCCCCCGCCCUUCUUCAACCUCACGCAGCUCGUCGACAGCUUCAAGGCCAAGAACAUGGACGAGGACGACCUCGUGGUGCUCUCCGGCGCGCACACCAUCGGCGUGUCGCACUGCUCCUCCUUCACCGACCGCCUGCCACCGAACCCCUCCGACAUGAACCCGGGCCUCACCAGGCUGCUGCGGAGCAAGUGCCCCGUCAGCCCCAACUUCACCAACGACCCCACCGUGGUGCAGGACAUCGUCACCCCCAACCGGAUGGACAACAUGUACUACACCAACCUGCUCAAGCGGAACGUGCUCUUCAUCUCCGACGCGGCGUUGCUCACGUCGGGGAAGACGGCGACGAAGGUGAUGGAGAACGCGUUCAACCCCGGGAGCUGGGAGAAGAAGUUCGCCAAGGCGAUGGUCAAGAUGGCUGCCAUCGAGCUCAAGACCGCUGCCAACGGCGAGAUCAGGAGGAACUGUAGGAUCGUCAACAAAUAG
rnacentral:rRNA from 1 species